rnacentral:rRNA from 1 species
ACAAGCGGAGGAGCAUGUGGUUAGUUCGAUGAUACGCGAGGAACCUUACCUGGGCUCGAACGUAAGAUGACUGUAGGUGAAAGCUUACAUCUCUUCGGAGCAUUUUACGAGGUGCUGCAUGGUUGUCGUCAGCUCGUGCCGUGAGGUGUCGGGUUAAGUCCCAUAACGAGCGCAACCCCUACCUUUAGUUGCCAUCAGGUAAUGCUGGGGACUCUAAAGGAACUGCCUACGCAAGUAGUGAGGAAGCGGGGAUGACGUCAAAUCAGCACGGCCCUUACGUCCAGGGCUACACACGUGCUACAAUGGCCGAUACAGAGGGCAGCUACCUGGUGACAGGAUGCAAAUCUCCAAAGUCGGUCUCAGUUCGGAUCGGAGUCUGCAACCCGACUCCGUGAAGUUGGAUUCGCUAGUAAUCGCGCAUCAGCCAUGGCGCGGUGAAUACGUUCCCGGGCCUU